AUGAACGCUGGCGGCGUGCCUAAUACAUGCAAGUCGAGCGAACGGACGAGAAGCUUGCUUUUCUGAUGUUAGCGGCGGACGGGUGAGUAACACGUGGAUAACCUACCUAUAAGACUGGGAUAACUUCGGGAAACCGGAGCUAAUACCGGAUAAUAUUUUGAACCGCAUGGUUCAAAAGUGAAAGACGGUCUUGCUGUCACUUAUAGAUGGAUCCGCGCUGCAUUAGCUAGUUGGUAAGGUAACGGCUUACCAAGGCAACGAUGCAUAGCCGACCUGAGAGGGUGAUCGGCCACACUGGAACUGAGACACGGUCCAGACUCCUACGGGAGGCAGCAGUAGGGAAUCUUCCGCAAUGGGCGAAAGCCUGACGGAGCAACGCCGCGUGAGUGAUGAAGGUCUUCGGAUCGUAAAACUCUGUUAUUAGGGAAGAACAUAUGCGUAAGUAACUGUGCACAUCUUGACGGUACCUAAUCAGAAAGCCACGGCUAACUACGUG
rnacentral:rRNA from 1 species